rnacentral:pre_miRNA from 1 species
AGUGCGAUAACUGGGUCAAAUGGUGGUUCCAUUCUAAGUACUCCACAGAAUCUCCAUACUGUUUUCCAGAGUAGUUGCACCAAUUUGCAGUCCCACCAGAUAU